ACCCACUCAGUUCAUCCAACAUAUCAUCUAAUCUAGGUAUAGGGUACCGAUAUUUGAUGGUUAUGUUGUUGAUGGCUCGGCAGUCCACACACAUGCGCCAUGUCCCAUCUUUCUUAGGCACUAGUAGGACCGGGACUGCACAGGGGCUAAGGCUCUCGCGGAUGUAGCCUUUGUCCAUGAGAUCUUGGACCUGCCGUUCCAGCUCCUUAGCUUCCUCAGGGUUGACACGGUAAGCGGCUCGGUUUGGUAGUGGCGCGCCGGGUACAAGAUCGAUCUGAUGUUCUAUGCCACGGAUAGGGGGCAAUCCGGCAGGGAUCUCGUCAGGGAAGACAUCCUUGUAACGUCCCAUGAGGUCUUGUACUACGUCCGGUACUUCAGGAGCUUCUAAACCUGCAAAACAACCUUCCUUAAAGAUCAUUAGUAGCACCUGUGUCUCACGUUGUAAUGAUUUAAGCACUUGUCCGGAAGUCAUGUAAAGGUUAGUAUUACUUACCUGGCCGGAAUGCGUCAUUGCCUUCUGCAUAUCAUGAACUUCUUGAGGGCUGAGAGGUGCUAGGCUGUGCUUCUUGUUGUUGUGGACGAAACUGUAGAUGUUGGUGCGGCCAUGGUGAAGUGUCUCCUUGUCAAACUGCCACGGCCUUCCGAGAAGUAUAUGGCCUGCUUGCAUGGGCACAACAUCACACUUGACCUGGUCGUGGUACUUGCCAAUACUGAAGGACACAACAACUUGUUCGGCAAUCUUGAGCUCAGUCUCAUCAUUGAGCCAUUUGAGACGGUAUGGUCGAGGAUGGGCAGUUUUGACCAACCCUAGCUUAUCAACAAGAUACUUGCUAGCCACGUUAGUACAAGAUCCGCCAUCUAUGAUCAAACUACAUACCUUGUGAUCAACACUACAUCUGGUGUGGAAGAUGUUCUCCCGCUGGAUGGUCUCUGGGUCAAAGAGGGUGCUAAGGGCUCUCCGGGUCACUAGCAGCUCGCCUGUCUCCGGGUAGUCGGUUACUUCCUCAUCAGAGAUCGCUGCCGCGGCCUCUGCCUCAUCUUGGGAUUCAUACUCGCCAUCCCCCUUUAGGACCAUCACUCGUUUGUUUGGACAAUCCCGAGCAUAGUGGCCCUUGCCCUGACACUUAUAACAAAUGAUGUCACGAGUACGCAAAUUUUGGGCUUGAGUCUUACCCUGCUCCGGCUUAGAUGCAUUGGAUGAUUCAGCCGGGUUUGUCUUGAAUCGGCUCUCAAUCUCAAUCGUCUUGCCCUUGUCGCCUUGCUUUGAACCCGGUUGAGUCCAAGCAGGUUUGCUGCGGCUGGUACUGGCCGUCUUGCGCUUGAUGUGCUGCUCGGCUUGCGUAGCAAAGUGCAAUAGAUCGUUGAAGUCUUCAUAGUGUUGUCUCUCCACCUUGCGGGCAAUGCGGUCUUGCAGCCCUUCCAGGAAUUGGGACAUCAUUGUCUCCUCGGGCUCGUCGGUCUCAAGCUUAUUCCUAAGAGCCUCGAACUCCUCAAAGUACUCCUCCACAGUCUUAGUUCCCUGCGUAAGUUUACGAAAACGUUUUAGCACAUCACGCUGGUAGUAAGAUGGAAUGUACCUCGCGCGAAGCUUGGUCCGCAUCUCGGUCCAAUUACGCGCUCUCCACACUGGCCCGGACUUGGCAACGUCUCGAUCCCACCACGAAAGAGCAUUGUCCGUCAGCUGGGCUGCUGCUAGGGCAACCUUCUUGGCCUCACUAUAUUGGUAAUAGUCGAAGAUGUACUCCAUGCGCUUCUCCCACACGAUGUAGGCAUCCGGAUCAACCUUGCCGGCAAACGUUGGGGGAUGAAGCUUAAGUGCCUUGCCUCCCAACCAAGGCUCUUCCUCCUCUCGGUCUCGACCUCCCCUAUGGUCGCGGCCUCCUCCUACUUGGGCCCGGGGUCCUCGCGCGUUCCUCCUACCUCCCCGGUUCGGCCUCUCCUCGUCCUGACUGCGCGUAUCAUCGGUACUGUCCGCGUCCGAGUCAGUGUCAUGCGGGUCCGGCUGAUGCCUUCCUGGUGGUCGAGGUCCGUUGGGCCUGCCUCCCUGCCGUAGCUGAGCAAGCUCGGCUGUGAUAGUCCUAAGGCUCGCCCUCAGUUCUUCAUUGUCAGCUAAGAGCUGAGCGUUUAUGGCCGCUUGGUCUUGACCUACAUCUCCCAUAGUUCUCUGAGAAGAAACUCAAAGAAAGAUUAAAAGGCAAGAGGGGGUUAAAUAGUUGCUUGGGUCGGAUACUAUGAGUAUCGACCAAGGCAAAGAAUAAAUGCAAAAGUUAAGACAAAAAAAUCGAAUCAGGUUUGAAAAAGGAAAGACAGAAUUUUUUUUUUUUUUUGAAAACUUGGAGAACAAUCCGAAAAUUUUAAAAAUAAGGAAAGUGAAUAAAUUUUUUUUUUUUUGAAAACUUGGAGAACAAUCCGAAAAUUUUAAAAAUAAGGAAAGUGAAAAAAUAGAAAAAUCGAAAACUUGGAGAACAAUCCAAAAAAAUUAAGGAAAGUAAAUAUUUUUUUUUUUUUGAAUUGUGACGGCUAGGGUUCAGAAAGAACUGAGUUUCGCAGGAAACUUCAGCUCUGAUACCAAAAUGUUGUAGGCACGGGUCGGAGGGUCGGACGGACGGACGGACGCACGGACGGAUGGCCGUUCCGCGGUUCAGCUUUGCCUCGGACGGAUGGUACUGGCCGGCUCGUCUCUUGCUUGCGGUCGAACCUGAAACAGAUAGGAAACUUUAAUGAAUUUUCAACAGGAACAAGAACAGAAACAAGAUAGGAUUCUUUUGGUUUUUAUGGAAUUGGUUGAAUGAAAUCUAAAACAAAAGAUAAAGAAAGGAGUAGAUUGGCGGAUGGGAUCAGCUGCUGGACGUAUGUCUCUCUCAGCUAGAUGCCUAGGUCGGACAGAAAGAUAGGUAUGGAUCCGGCUCUUGCUGGACGUAUGUCUCUCUCAAGAUUCGGACAAGGAAUGGAAUGGAUCGAAGGACGCCACAAAGAACAAUGGAUCGGCUCUUUGAUAUGUCACACGGCUGCUCUCAAUGUUUCACACAACUGAAAGACUUAGGGUUUCCUUUGCUAAAGCAAAUCGAUUUCAUAAAAGACUUAGCCGAAAAGUUGGCAACUACAAGGGUUUAAAUAGAUGUUCCUUACUGGACUUAAAGAUUAAAAAGGCCUAGACAAAUGGCCAAAGUCUUAACCGAAAUAAAAAUAAAGAAAACAAUAGACCGGUCGCGGUUUGAGAUGUCCGGAUCAGAACUCAUAGUAUGCUUGCUUGUUGCCUCAUUAAAACCUUUCGGGAAAACCCAGUGGGACAAAACCUCGAUAAGGAAAAAGAGUACAACACAUACUACUCCUUCUGAUGGUCGGCUAUAUCUCUGAACCGGAAGCAAGUUGGUUGGAUGGAUUGAGUAUGAAGGUGGAAAUGGUCAGGCCGGCUUCAUUCUGGCCGAUGGAGGAGAACUGGCUCGAAUGGACAGGGUCUGGAACCUCUAGUGGUUCACCGGUGUCUUCCAGCUUCAAGUCAGACAACUCCUGGAUCAAUAGUUGCUUGAACCCGGUUUGUUCUUGUGCAAGCAACUCCUGGACAGCUUUGGCAAAUCCAGCUCUUAUAACUCUUGAACCGGACCUUGUGGUAGGGCCUUUGCGGAUAAUGGGAACCUCAGUCGUGGGUACUACAACAUCCCCUCCCUCUUGACCAGGUUCUGUCCUCAGAACAUCUUUAUCAUCUGCAAUAUAAGGAGACAAAUCAGAUACAUUGAACGUUCGGGAAACUUGGAACUCACCUGGCAGCUCUAGCCGGUAGGCAUUGUCAUUGAUCCGAUCGAGCACUCGGAAUGGUCCAUCUCCCCGUGGGGAUAAUUUGCUCUUCCUCUCCUCCGGAAACCGUUCUGGCCUCAUGUGGAGCCACACCCAGUCGCCUGGCUGGAAGAUAACUUCUGUGCGCCCCUUGUUGAGCUUAAUCCGGUUCCUUUCAGCCUUCUUCUCCAAAGUCUCCUUGACUUGCCGGUGCAUGUUCUUUACAAACUCAGCCUUUUUGUCACCACUCUGACUGACUUGCAUGGCUGGGGGCAAUGCGGCUAGGUCCAUGGGCGUCUCUGGUCUAAAGCCGUACACGAUCUCAAAAGGGGAGAGGUUAGUAAUAGAGUGCCUUGCAUGGUUAUAAGCAAACUCAAUGAAAGGAAAACAACUCAGCCAGUUUUUAAGAUUCUUACCCACCGUAGCCCUCAAUAACUGAGAGAGUGUACGGUUUACUACCUCGGUCUGUCCAUCAGUGUGUGGAUGGCAAGUGGUCGAGAAAAGGAGCUUGGUUCCAAGAUUUUUCCACAAUGUCCUCCAGAAGUGGCUGAGAAAUUUGUGUCUCGAUCUCGAGGCACUCGUAAACGCACCAUGGUACGAGGCACUCCAUGUAAACGCACCACUUCCUUGAAGAAGAGAUCAGCGGUUUGGCUUGCGUCAUUGGUUUUGGAACACGGAAUGAAGUGUGCCAUCUUGGAGAACCUGUCCACUACAACAAAAAUAGAAUCCUUGUGUUCUAUCUUGGGCAAGCCCAGCACAAAGUCCAUAGACAGAUCGACCCACGGUGCAAUAGGAAUAGGUAAAGGCAUGUGUAAACCAUAAGGAUGCGACCUGGAUUUGGUUUUGAGACAGACAGUGCACUUGGAGCAAAGGCUCUCGACGUAGCGCCUCAUCCGGGGCCAAUAGAAGUGGUCGGAUAGGACACUCAGAGUUUUGUCCCGACCGAAAUGCCCCAUCAAUCCACCCCCAUGAGCUUCUCUGGUCAGUAAAUCUCGCAUGGAACCAUGAGGGAUACACAGGCGUUUCUCCUUGAAGAGGAAUCCGUCCUGCUGAUAGAAUGGACCCAUGGCUCCCUUAGCCGUGUUACUGUAAAGCUCAGAAAAAUCAGGGUCAGUUUCAUAAGACAUUUUGAGUUGCUCAAAACCCAUGAUCUUAGCCUCCAUGGUGGUAAUGAGUGUGUGGCGCCGGGAUAGGGCGUCGGCCACUAUGUUGUCCUUUCCCUUCUUGUACUUGAUCACAUAAGGAAAAGUUUCCACGAACUCCAGCCACCUAGCAUGCCUCUUCUUGAGUGUGGUCUGGCCCCUCAAAUGCUUAAGAGUCUCAUGAUCUGUAUGAAUAAUAAACUCUUUAGACAAAAGAUAAUGUUGCCAAGUUUCAAGCGACCUUACUAGAGCAUAUAGCUCUUUAUCAUAGGUGGGGUAAUUGAGGGCGGCUCCACUCAAUUUCUCACUGAAAAAGGCCACUGGCCGGCCUCCUUGGGUCAGCACGGCUCCUAUUCCUGUCCCUGAAGCAUCACACUCAAUCUCAAAAGGUUUAUCAAAGUUAGGAAGAGUUAGAACCGGUGCAUGUGUCAAGCUAUAUUUAAGCCUGUUGAAAGACUCCUCUUGGGCAGGGCCCCAAGCAAAGGUUACAUUCUUCUUGAUCACGGAGGUCAUUGGGGCGGCAAUGGUACUGAAGUCCUUCACAAAUCGUCGAUAGAAACUGGCCAGUCCAUGGAAGCUGCGGAUAUGUCCGAUCGUGGUUGGAGUCGGCCAGUCUUGUAUCGCCUUGAUCUUCUCUUCAUCAACCUUCAGUCCCUGUGAACUCACAACAAAGCCUAAAAAUACCAAUUGAUCAGUGCAGAAUACACAUUUCUUAAGGUUAGCAUAAAGGCCUUCUUGCCUUAAGGCUUUCAAAACCUGUUCUAGGUGUCCCAUGUGUUCAGUUAAAGACCUGCUGUAAAUCAAGAUAUCAUCAAAGUAUACAACCACGAAUUUACCAAUGUAAGGUCGGAGGACCUCAUUCAUGAGUCUCAUGAAGGUGCUAGGGGCGUUGGUAAGGCCAAACGGCAUCACCAGCCACUCGUAUAGACCUUGCUUGGUCUUGAAGGCGGUUUUCCACUCAUCUCCUUCCUUCAUGCGGACUUGAUGGUAUCCACUCCUGAGAUCAAUCUUAGAAAACACAACAGACCCACUCAGUUCAUCCAACAUAUCAUCUAAUCUAGGUAUAGGGUACCGAUAUUUGAUGGUUAUGUUGUUGAUGGCUCGGCAGUCCACACACAUGCGCCAUGUCCCAUCUUUCUUAGGCACUAGUAGGACCGGGACUGCACAGGGGCUAAGGCUCUCGCGGAUGUAGCCUUUGUCCAUGAGAUCUUGGACCUGCCGUUCCAGCUCCUUAGCUUCCUCAGGGUUGACACGGUAAGCGGCUCGGUUUGGUAGUGGCGCGCCGGGUACAAGAUCGAUCUGAUGUUCUAUGCCACGGAUAGGGGGCAAUCCGGCAGGGAUCUCGUCAGGGAAGACAUCCUUGUAACGUCCCAUGAGGUCUUGUACUACGUCCGGUACUUCAGGAGCUUCUAAACCUGCAAAACAACCUUCCUUAAAGAUCAUUAGUAGCACC
rnacentral:lncRNA from 1 species